rnacentral:lncRNA from 1 species
UGAAAGACUAUCUAGCUUAAACUGUCAAGGGAGAAUCUCCCUUCCAAACGUUUCCAAUUUGUGUGUUUAGAAGUUCUAAUGAGAAGCCUGAGUGAUGUGAGUUUUGUAAGGCUGAUUUUAGCCUAAUUUGCUUGGCCAUUUCAGAGAAAUUUAGUUCUAACUGAUUUGAGAUUGCUCACUGUGCAGGAACAUGAGUUUGAAUGAUCAGAUUGGCG